UGGGGACCAAGCGCACGGUGGCGCACAGGGCUUCUGAAGGAGCAGGGCAGGCCACCUAGUGCUGGUUCCAGGUGUCAGAAAGGUGUGUCUGGAGCAGCCAGGUGCCCAGGCUACCCUUACCGCCUCUCGUUUAGGGAGGUGGAGUGCAGAUGGAUCUCCACCUCCAGGUCAUGCCCCAAAGGGUGGCACCCUGAGACAGCAGGCAAGACAGAGGGGACCCGUGAACGGAGGUUCAGCAGAGGAAGGGUGGCCUUUGAGGAAGAAGGACAAGGACUGGGGCAAAGCAGAGAGAACUGCUUCCCGCAGAGUGAGCCUGAAGCUGGACCCGGACACCGCGAGCCCCAAGCUCAGCCUGUCGGAGGAUGGGAGAAGCGUGUGGCGGCUGCUGUUCCCACAGGACCUGCCCCCCGGCCCCGGGAGCGGGACGGACGGCUCCCUGCUCUACACGUUCUCUGGACUCGCCGCUGGGCCCCUGCGGCCAUUCUUCUGUCUCUGGACGCACGACCCCUGUCCCCUGAUCAUCUGCCCAGUGGGCCCAGAGACCGGGAAAGGUACUGCCGACCCCAGAGACCUCUGGCCUUCCCCGGGAAACUCCAGUGGGGGAGACACUGUCCUCGAAAGACAAGGACACUCCCCGGGCGAGGCUCACAUUCUCGCCCAGCCCUGUCCAGCACCGGGAGGAACGUGCAGCCCCUGAAGCUCAACAGGACUGUGUCUGAGGGUGCGGCCCAGGGCCGCGAUCCCCCGUCCCAGCUCCACACUUCUCCUGUAAAAUGAUGGCGCUGUGGUAGGCACUGAAUUGUGCCCCUUCGAAGGUUGAAGUCCUAACCCCGCGACCUCCAAAUGUGGCUGUGUUUGGAGAUAAGCCCUUUAGAGAGGGAACUGAGGUCAAAGGAGGUCAUGAUGUGUCCCUGAUCCUACAGGGCUGGUGUCUCCACAGAGGGGAGGUCAGGUCACAGGCACAGAGGCCUGGCCCUGGGAGGGUCUGCGGAGAAGCCCAGGAGAGAGGCUGAGGGGAAACGGCCCUGCCAACAGACGCCUUGGCUCGGCCACCAGCCUGCAGGACUGGAGAAGGUCAGUGUCCGCCUUUAGGCCAGGCCUGCCGUCCUUUGUUACCGAGGCCCAGGCAGAUUAAUAAUAAAGAGCAGUCAGUACACCCCUGGGCUCCUCUG
rnacentral:lncRNA from 13 species